CACAGAAAGUGGCAAUGACGUCACGAGCAGUCACGCCUUUAUUAGGGGAGGGGCGGGGAAGGCACUGGGACCAAUUGGGACCAAUUGGGACCAACUGGAAGGCACUGGGAAGGGACCCAGGCAUCCGGGAGUGGGUCACGUGACUCCCGGACGCCUGGGUCCCUUUGCAAUAACUCGAAUCCUUGAUGCGAUUUCUGGCUUCCUGGGGCACUCCUGGGUCCCCCGAACGCCUGGGUCCCUCAGAACGCCUGAGUCCCUUGUUGGGGAUGUGGACCCAGGCAUCCGGGAGGGGACCCAGGCAUCCGGGUGGGUAUCACAUGACUCCCGGACGCCUGGGUCCCUUGCAAUAACUCAAAUCCUCAAUGCGAUUUCUGGCUUCCUGGGGCACUCCUGGGUCCCUCGAACUCCUGGGUCCCUCAGAACGCCUGAGUCCCUUGUUGGGGAUGUGGACCCAGGCGUCCGGGAGGGGGUCAUGUGACUCCCGGACGCCUGGGUCCCUUGCAAUAACUCGAAUCCUCGAUGCGAUUUCUGGCUUCCUGGGGCACUCCUGGGUCCCUCGAACUCCUGGGUCCCUCAGAAUGCCCGAGUCCCUUGUUGGGGAUGUGGACCCAGGCGUCCGGGAGGGGACCCAGGCAUCCGGGUGGGUAUCACAUGACUCCCGGACGCCUGGGUCCCUUGCAAUAACUCGAAUCCUUGAUGCGAUUUCUGGCUUCCUGGGGCACUCCUGGGUCCCCCGAACGCCUGGGUCCCUCAGAACGCCCGAGUCCCUUGUUGGGGAUGUGGACCCAGGCGUCCAGGAGGGGACCCAGGCA